rnacentral:lncRNA from 1 species
CAUUUUUUAAACUUGUGUUUGAUGGGGUUAGAGGGAGGAACAUAGAAUUAAAAUAUCUUUACUCUGUUAUCUUUAGGUGAAAAACCAGUAUGCUGGCAUGGAGAUAUGACCUUCAUAUAGAGUCAAACAUAAGAAAGUAGAUGUCUGUACAUUAGGUAUGCUCAAUGGGUUCCUGGCCAAGCCCCAGGACCAGGAGCUGGGAGAGGGGCUCAGCUCAGUCAAGAUGAAGUGAAAUGCCAGACAUGCUGAAACUUCUGUCUGAGAUCUCCAGGGAAGUUUAAAAAACUUCAGAGCUCUGUACUUCAUGAACAAAAUUCUAAAUUAACCAUUCCAGGGUUGCUUCUGACCAACUCUUUAGUCCUUUUCUUUUGUGGCAUGGUUGAAAAAUCCAGUUCCAGCCCAUGUGGAUUUAUUCAGGAAGAUUCCUGGAAGGGAUCAAGCAUCCAAUUGAUUCAUUUGCUUACAUGCUCACCAAUGGAAGGUGAGAGAGGGCACUUCCUUUAACUGUUUCAAGAGACUAUAUCUAGUGGGGGAAGAAAGAGCCUCUGAAGGGAUGGAUGCUGAGCAGCCCAAAACAGCAAGCACACGGGCCAGAGUGGCAGGUCACACCUCCUGGCCUUCUUCUGGUAACCUUGCUAUUCCCAGGAGAGCAAGACAAGAACUUUUGGAUGGAAACAAAGUUCACAUUAUUAACACUGUCAGAAAAUGCUGGUAGGUUCUU